UUGAGCGGCAUUGGCGGGAUUUCGCCGUCUUCGUUUCUCUUUCUUCGCGGACGAACACGCGCCGGGGCUGCGCUGUGCGAUUGCAUCUGCGCUGGUCGCCGAUGCAUGCACGCAAGACCCUAGUCCUGAAAAGGAUAGCGUUAGGGCUUGUAGCUCAGUUGGUUAGAGCGCGCGCUUGAUAAGCGUGAGGUCGGAAGUUCAAGUCUUCCCAGGCCCACCACUUUCAUCGAGUGAGCAUUCGUCUUCUGGUUACGGGGCCAUAGCUCAGCUGGGAGAGCGCGUG
rnacentral:tRNA from 1 species